UACGUAGGGUGCAAGCGUUAAUCGGAAUUACUGGGCGUAAAGCGUGCGCAGGCGGUUUGGUAAGACGGAUGUGAAAUCCCUGGGCUCAACCUAGGAAUUGCAUUCGUGACUGCCCGGCUAGAGUGUGUCAGAGGGGGGUAGAAUUCCACGUGUAGCAGUGAAAUGCGUAGAUAUGUGGAGGAAUACCGAUGGCGAAGGCAGCCCCCCUGGGAUAACACUGACGCUCAUGCACGAAAGCGUGGGGAGCAAACAGGG
rnacentral:rRNA from 1 species